GGUCACAUAGCUCAAUAGGUAGAGCAUUCAGACGCUUUCCUUCAAGUUUCUGGAGAUGCGAGUUCGAACCUCGUCUGUGCUACCA